rnacentral:rRNA from 1 species
UACGUAGGCAGCGAGCGUUGUUCGGAUUUACUGGGCGUAAAGGGCGCGUAGGCGGUGCGGUAAGUCACUUGUGAAAUCUCUGAGCUUAACUCAGAACGGCCAAGUGAUACUGCAGUACUAGAGUGCGGGAAGGGGCAAUCGGAAUUCUUGGUGUAGCGGUGAAAUGCGUAGAUAUCAAGAGGAACACCUGAGGUGAAGACGGGUUGCUGGGCCGACACUGACGCUGAUGCGCGAAAGCCAGGGGAGCAAACGGG